GUGAGAUGGAGCGCAUGUUAAGAACUAAUUGACAAGAUUAUAGGGCUUACGAAACAAUCCGAUCAAUGAAAUCUUGACAUGCAUUUUAUCGCACAAUAACUUAUCAGAUUUUAAAACAUAUAAGUUGAGAUAUGUAAUAUUUAUAAUUUAAAAUUUAUGAAGAAAAGUAAGAUAAACUGCAGUACACAAAUAGUGCUGUAACCUUACUGUCAUUUUCAUAUUCAUUUUCUUGAAUUUGCUCUACUGGCACACUCAAAGUUAUUAGUGGAGAUGUCAUUAAUCAGAUUUAGAUUGCUCAUAUUCAAUUUAAUUAAGAGAUUAAUGGCGAUUGUAAUAAAUGAUUAGAGAGAGUAAUCUUCUGUCCUCGAGAUGCGAAGAUCCUAUAUUAGUUAUAUUAUUCAGUAGGAAAUUAAAAGGAAGAUCUGAUAUUGCAUGUGCUCAUAUAUUUAGCUUUACCUACUUGAUAAUUAAAUUAAAAUUUCUAAAUUAUCCAAUAAUUGCCCCACCCAUUUCUCAUUUUACUUGGCUUGAGAUCCCUCAUUCAUGUAUUCGAUCAAGAAAUUCUCUUUAGAGAUUAAUGGGGUUUCCCAAUAUAGGUUUUUCGAGGAAUACUCAUCUCCAACCUCUUAACCCUUUAAUUAUUAAUAAUUUUCUUAGCUUAGUCGAUAGUUUAAAAAAAAUAUAUAUAUAUACAGUAAUAUGAUUUUAAAAGUGUUGUAAGGUUUUUUUAUUAAAAAAUAAAAUAAAAAUCCACCCAUUUAUCCAAUCGAUUAUCAACCAUUAAAAGUACACUUACAUAUCUCCUUCAUAAUGGAAUUAAAAGUUGACUUCUUAAUCAUAAUUCGACAAAAAUUCAUAGGAAAGUUGACAUCCCAUCAACCCAAUAUCUAGCAAAAUUCAUUUUUCAAGCACUUCAAAUUGACAUACAAAUAUACAUAUGUAGCUAAGGGCAUUUAUUUAAGGAUUUCGUUUUUUUCCUUUCAAAUUACAUCACAUUAUAACUGUUGUAUGUAUUCAUACAAAUAAAAAUUUUUUUUCAUUAAACAUUUCAAAUUGACUACUUAUUUGUUAAUGAAAAGUUUGAAACUUAUAACAGAAGGUAUCAAAACUAAAUCUAAUUAAUUAUUUAAAGCACUAUAUUAACGGUUGCAAUAGGUAAUGUUACUUGUCGGCACUCUAGAUUUUUAAAUAGAUACAAUGUAUGUUAAUUGGUGUAUUACCUAACCUACCCAUGCAAUUUUUUUUUUAUUUUUUUGUUUUUUAAAUCUAGGAAUUUCACACUACAUGUGGCCUAAAAUUUUGAGGACUAAGCGACACAUCAAAAAGAAAUAUUUGUACACGAAAAGUAACAAAGAGAUGUGGAUGUGUCAAGCCGAUAAUUGUUGCUCAAGAGUCCCCACUUGAAGAUUACAAAAUAAUUUGCAGGCUCUUCAUUGACCUUGUAUUUUAGAAAAAAAUAAAUCAUAAUUGAUCGUAGUGUGCGUGGCUCACCUUGGUUCAUAUUUUCUUUCAUGUCAUGGUUGCCGCUAGAAAUAUUUAUUAAUUGUAUUAUAAUUUAUAAUGAUAUGAUUGGUCUUUUUUUUCUUUUCCUAUAGGCUGCCAAUUCUUACUUUAACACUUUUCUACAUGAUAGGCGCAAGUGGUUGGUUGACUCAAAAAGUUCCUGCGAAAUUUAGGUGCUUCUGCAAUUGUGGUUUGAGAUUUCUUUGAUUUCUUCCAUACAGAUUCAAAUGCAUGGGCAAAUUUUCACCACUAAGAGUGAGGAUGUGAAAUUUUUGUUAGUGAGAAGAAGAAAUUUUGGUUUUCAUGAUGUGGUGGGUGCAAAUGUGAGUACAAAAAUCUUGUCAUAGGAAUAGAAAGCAAAAGUUGAAAUAUACUUCACAUUAAUGUUGCUUUCCUCCUUUCAUCUUUUAGUUUUAUUUGGAUAAUUGAAUGGAUAAUUGGUAACCACAAGAGAGAAUUUGUUUCUCAUGUUUCGUGAUGGAUGAACCAUAUCAAGAUAUGAACCCUCUAAAUCGGCUUUUAUUUUUUUAACAAACAAAUACAAAUCUCUUUUCAUAAUUAUAACAUCUAACAGUACACUGGGAUAUUCACAUGAUAUAUUGCCAGAAAUAUUCCUUUGCUGUUUUAAUAAGUUGCGCCUCCACUUUUAGCUUCACCAAAAAAUAGUGACAGACCUCCUACAACAACUGAUUUAUAAUUUAUUUUUUUUAAAUCUGAAAUUUAGGGGGUUUUUUUUUGGAGAACUAUUGCUCAGAAUAUUUAUACUAUACAAAUUACUGGGACCAGUUUACAUAAAUUCUGAUAUGACAUCGCUCAGAUUUUUUAAUCCUCUCAAAUAUUCGAGGGAUGUCAAACUCUCCUCCUGGAAGAAAGACUGCAUUCACUCAUGUUCUGGGAUUCCAAGAAAGGAAAUUUAAAUUAAACCUAUGCAAUGCGUCUGUUUUAUUAAACCCAGCUCAAGUGGUUAAAUUUAGGGGUUAUUUGUUAAAUGUAUGAAAUCUGAAAU
rnacentral:lncRNA from 1 species